rnacentral:rRNA from 1 species
AUGGUGCACGUCGAGCCCGACCCUGCGGACGAGUGGUCCGAGUCCGACGUCUCGGAAGAUAUCUCCGACUCCGAAGUUGGCGAUGGCCUGGACUGGCUCGACGCCGUCGAGGACCCUGAUGGCUCAGCCCGGCCAUCCGCCGCCUUCUCGACAGUCGGAGGCGCGGCCGUGGCGCGGAGGCCGAACGCCCACGGUGGCGUGCUCUCCCGCCCCUUUCAGCCGCUCUCCAACCGCACGCAGAGGCUCGCCUCCCACAUGCGGGCCACGCCCUUGGAGGAGUGGGAAGGUAGAAUGAACGUGGGGAUGUCAAAUUCGGUAACGACUGCAAUCAGGGACAGCAUAAGGGACACAGCAAUUGGCAAAACAAGGAACCAUGAGAAGGCCGAUCGUGCUACCGUGGAACAGGCCAUUGACCCAAGAACACGCAUGGUUCUGUUCAAGAUGUUGAAUCGUGGUGAUUUCAAUAAUAUAAAUGGCUGCAUUUCUACAGGAAAGGAGGUAAACACUAAAAUCCAGUGCAUGUGCUACUGA